AGUGAACGCUGGCGGUAGGCCUAACACAUGCAAGUCGAACGGCAGCACAGUAAGAGCUUGCUCUUACGGGUGGCGAGUGGCGGACGGGUGAGGAAUACAUCGGAAUCUACUUUUUCGUGGGGGAUAACGUAGGGAAACUUACGCUAAUACCGCAUACGACCUACGGGUGAAAGCAGGGGAUCUUCGGACCUUGCGCGAUUGAAUGAGCCGAUGUCGGUUUAGCUAGUUGGCGGGGUACAGGCCCACCAAGGCGACGAUCCGUAGCUGGUCUGAGAGGAUGAUCAGCCACACGGGAACUGAGACACGGUCCAGACUCCUACAGGGGGCAGCAGUGGAGAAUAUUAGGCAAUGGGCGCGAGCCUGAUCCAGCCAAACCGCGUGGGGGAAGAAGGCCUUCGGGUUGUAAAGCCCUUUUGUUGGGAGAGAAAAGCAGCAGGUUAAUACCCCGCUGUUCUGACGGUACCCAAAGAAUAAGCACCGGCUAACUUCGUG
rnacentral:rRNA from 1 species